GGGAUAAAGGAGGAAAAAGGCUGGUCUUGCUUGAGGUGCAAGAGGCCGCGAGUUCGAAUCUCGCCAUCCCG
rnacentral:tRNA from 1 species